GUAUAUGGCCAUACCAGUCUGAAAGUGCCUGAUCUCGUCAGAUCUCAGAAGUCAUGUAGACUUGGCCCUGCUUAGUACUUGUAUGGGAGACCAACUAGGAACCUCAGGUGCCGUAAGCU
rnacentral:rRNA from 1 species